rnacentral:rRNA from 1 species
GAUGAACGCUGGCGGCAUGCCUAACACAUGCCAGUCGAACGAGACCUUCGGGUCUAGUGGCGCACGGGUGCGUAACGCGUGGGAACCUGCCCUUAGGUUCGGAAUAACUCCCCGAAAGGGGUGCUAAUACCGGAUAAUGUCUUCGGACCAAAGAUUUAUCGCCUUUGGAUGGGCCCGCGUUGGAUUAGCUAGUUGGUAGGGUAAAAGCCUACCAAGGCGACGAUCCAUAGCUGGUCUGAGAGGAUGAUCAACCACACUGGGACUGAGACACGGCCCAGACUCCUACGGGAGGCAGCAGUGGGGAAUAUUGGACAAUGGGCGAAAGCCUGAUCCAGCAAUGCCGCGUGAGUGAUGAAGGCCUUAGGGUUGUAAAGCUCUUUUACCCGGGAUGAUAAUGACAGUACCGGGAGAAUAAGCUCCGGCUAACUCCGU